CGAGACAUCAGUUCCUGAGUGACGUCCUGAGAAAAACAGUUCACUCAACCAUGAACAACCGUCUCUUCGUCAACUUGGCCUGCCUAGUGGGCGUGGUGGUGGCCGACUCCUACAAGACGCCCAUCCCGAUCCUGAAGGACGACCGAACCCAGAACGCCUACGGCGAGUACACCUUAGACUUCGAGACCGGAAACGGCAUCAAGAGGCACGAGGCCGGAAGGCAGAACGACGGACAGGAGUCUGAAGGAGGCUGGAGCUACACCGGUCCUGAGGGCAUCCCCAUCGUGCUGACCUUCUCCGCCGGUGCCC